rnacentral:tRNA from 1 species
GCCUUGGUGGUGGAAUUGGUAGACACGCAGGACUUAAAAUCCUGUGACCAUUGCGGUCGUGCGGGUUCAAGUCCCGCCCGAGGUA